ACAGGGACCUCCAGGAUCAGCUGGUGAAACAGGAGAACCUGGACUUCCUGGUGUAAAGGGACAAAAGGGAGAAAAAGGAGAUCUUGGUGCAUCCGGACUUACUGGAACAAAGGGGAACAAAGGAGAAAGAGGUGAAAGAGGUGUACCAGGACAAGAUGGACAAAAAGUAAGAGAAUA